CCUACGGGUGGCAGCAGUAGGGAAUAUUGCUCAAUGGGGGAAAGCCUGAACCAGCAAAGCCGCGUGAAGGAUGAAGGUCUUAGGAUUGUAAAAUCCUUUUGGGAGAGAAGAUAAUGACGGUACGUCACGAAUCAUCACUGGCUAACUCCGUGCAAGCAGCCGCGGUAACACGGCGGGCGCAAGCGUUACUCGGUAGCACUGGGCGUAAAGGGGGCGUAGGCGGGUUUGUAAGUCAGGUGGGAAAUCGUGUAGCUUAACUGGAGAAGUGCAUUUGAAACUGUGAGUCUAGAGUGUGGGAGAGGUAGGUGGAAUUCUUGGUGUAGCGGUAAAAUGCGUAGAUAUCAAGAAGAAUACUCAUUGCGAAGGCGGCCUACUGGAACAUUACUGACGCUGAUGCACGAAAGCGUGGGGAGCAAACAGGAUUAGAUACCCGAGUAGUC
rnacentral:rRNA from 1 species